rnacentral:rRNA from 1 species
CGUUGUUCGGAAUUACUGGGCGUAAAGGGCGCGUAGGCGGCCUGCUAAGUCGGACGUGAAAUCCCCCGGCUCAACCGGGGAACUGCGUCCGAUACUGGUGGGCUCGAAUCCGGGAGAGGGAUGUGGAAUUCCUAGUGUAGAGGUGAAAUUCGUAGAUAUUAGGAAGAACACCAGUGGCGAAGGCGGCUCACUGGUCCGGUACUGACGCUGAGGUGCGAAAGCGUGGGGAGCAAACAGG